AUUGAACGCUGGCGGCAUGCCUUACACAUGCAAGUCGAACGGCAGCGGGGGAGAAGCUUGCUUUUCCUGCCGGCGAGUGGCGAACGGGUGAGUAAUACAUCGGAACGUGCCCUGUAGUGGGGGAUAACUAGUCGAAAGAUUAGCUAAUACCCCAUACGACCUGAGGGUGAAAGUGGGGGACCGCAAGGCCUCAUGCGAAAGGAGCGGCCGAUGUUUGAUUAGCUAGUUGGUGGGGUAAAGGCCUACCAAGGCGACGAUCAGUAGCUGGUCUGAGAGGACGAUCAGCCACACUGGGACUGAGACACGGCCCAGACUCCUACGGGAGGCAGCAGUGGGGAAUUUUGGACAAUGGGCGAAAGCCUGAUCCAGCAAUGCCGCGUGUGUGAAGAAGGCCUUCGGGUUGUAAAGCACUUUUGUCCGGAAAGAAAUGGCUCUGGUUAAUACCUGGGGUCGAUGACGGUACCGGAAGAAUAAGGACCGGCUAACUACGUGCCAGCCGCCGCCGUAA
rnacentral:rRNA from 1 species